rnacentral:SRP_RNA from 1 species
GCUGGGCACGGUGGCGCGUGCCUGUAAUCCCAGGUACUCAGGAGGCUGAGGCAGGAGAAUUGCCUGAACCCAGGAGGCGGAGGUUGCGGUGAGCCGAGAUCGCGCCAUUGCACUCCAGCCUGGGUAACAAGAGCGAAACUCCGUCUCAAAAAAAAAAAAGAGACAGGGUCUCACUCUGUCGCCCAGGCUGGAGUGCAGUGGCAUGAUUUCAGCUUAUUGCAACCACUGCCUCUGGGGUUCAAGUGAUUCUCCUGCCUCAG